AGAGUUUGAUCAUGGCUCAGGACGAACGCUGGCGGCGUGCCUAAUACAUGCAAGUCGAGCGGACCUUUCGGGGUCAGCGGCGGACGGGUGAGUAACACGUGGGCAAUCUGCCCGAUACUCUGGGAUAACGCUUGGAAACGAGUGCUAAUACCGGAUGGUCUUCUUGGUCGCAUGGCCGAGAAGGAAAAGACGCGUUCGCGUCGGUGUCGGAUGAGCCCGCGGCGCAUUAGCUAGUUGGUGAGGUAACGGCCCACCAAGGCGACGAUGCGUAGCCGACCUGAGAGGGUGACCGGCCACACUGGGACUGAGACACGGCCCAGACUCCUACGGGAGGCAGCAGUAGGGAAUCUUCCACAAUGGGCGAAAGCCUGAUGGAGCAACGCCGCGUGAGUGAUGAAGGCCUUCGGGUUGUAAAACUCUGUCAUUCGGGACGAACCGGAGUCUGAGGAAAUGCAGACUCUCUGACGGUACCGGAGGAGGAAGCCCCGGCUAACUACGUGCCAGCAGCCGCGGUAAUACGUAGGGGGCAAGCGUUGUCCGGAUUCACUGGGCGUAAAGCGCGCGCAGGCGGU
rnacentral:rRNA from 1 species